rnacentral:rRNA from 1 species
GAUGAACGCUGGCGGCGUGCCUAAUACAUGCAAGUCGAGCGAAUGGAUUAAGAGCUUGCUCUUAUGAAGUUAGCGGCGGACGGGUGAGUAGCACGUGGGUAACCUGCCCAUAAGACUGGGAUAACUCCGGGAAACCGGGGCUAAUACCGGAUAACAUUUUGAACCGAAUGGUUCGAAAUUGAAAGGCGGCUUCGGCUGUCCCUUAUGGAUGGACCCGUGUCGCAUUAGCUAGUUGGUGAGGUAACGGCUCACCAAGGCAACGAUGCGUAGCCGACCUGAGAGGGUGAUCGGCCACACUGGGACUGAGACACGGCCCAGACUCCUACGGGAGGCAGCAGUAGGGGAUCUUCCGCAAUGGACGAAAGUCUGACGGAGCAACGCCGCGUGAGUGAUGAAGGCUUUCGGGUCGUAAAACUCUGUUGUUAGGGAAGAACAAGUGCUAGUUGAAUAAGCUGGCACCUUGACGGUACCUAACCAGAAAGCCACGGCUAACUACGUGCCAGCCGCCGCCGUAA